rnacentral:rRNA from 1 species
UACGUAGGGUGCAAGCGUUAAUCGGAAUUACUGGGCGUAAAGCGUGCGCAGGCGGUGAUGUAAGCCAGUUGUGAAAUCCCCGGGCUCAACCUGGGAACUGCAUCUGUGACUGCAUCGCUGGAGUGCGGCAGAGGGGGAUGGAAUUCCGCGUGUAGCAGUGAAAUGCGUAGAUAUGCGGAGGAACACCGAUGGCGAAGGCAAUCCCCUGGGCCUGCACUGACGCUCAUGCACGAAAGCGUGGGGAGCAAACAGG